rnacentral:rRNA from 1 species
CCUACGGAUGGCUGCAGUGAGGAAUAUUGGUCAAUGGGCGAGAGCCUGAACCAGCCAAGUCGCGUGAGGGAGUACUGCCCUAUGGGUUGUAAACCUCUUUUGUCGGGGAGCAAAAGCCGGACGUGUCCGGCUGUGAGAGUACCCGAAGAAAAAGCAUCGGCUAACUCCGUGCCAGCAGCCGCGGUAAUACGGAGGAUGCGGGCGGUAUCCGGGGUUAUUGGGGUUAAAGGGUGCGCAGGCGGAUUUUUAAGUCAGCGGUCAAAUCGUGGGGCUAAACCCCAUCCAGCCGUUGAAACUGGGGAUCUAGAGUGUGCGAGAGGUAUGCGGAAUGCGUGGUGUAGCGGUGAAAUGCAUAGAUAUCACGCAGAACCCCGAUUGCGAAGGCAGCAUACCGGUGCACAACUGACGCUCAGGCACGAAAGCGUGGGUAUCGAACAGGAUUAGAUACCCUUGUAGUC